rnacentral:rRNA from 1 species
AUUGAACGCUGGCGGCAGGCCUAACACAUGCAAGUCGAGCGGAGGAAGGGAGCUUGCUCCUGGAUUCAGCGGCGGACGGGUGAGUAAUGCCUAGGAAUCUGGCUGGCAGCGGGGGAUAACGUCCGGAAACGGGCGCUAAUUCCGCAUACGGCCUGAGGGAGAAAGUGGGGGAUCUUCGGACCUCACGCUAUCAGAUGAGCCUAGGUCGGAUUAGCUAGUUGGUGGGGUAAAGGCCUACCAAGGCGACGAUCCGUAACUGGUCUGAGUGGAUGAUCAGUCACACUGGAACUGAUACACGGUCCAGACUCCUACGGGAGGCAGCAGUGGGGAGUAUUGGACAAUGGGCGGAAGCCUGAUCCAGCCGUGCCGCGUGUUUGAAGAAGGUCUUCGGAUUGUAAAGCACUUUAAGUUGGGAGGAAGGGCAGUAAGUUAAUACCUUGCUGUUUUGACGGUACCAACAGAAUAAGCGCCGGCUAACUUCGUG